rnacentral:rRNA from 1 species
GAUCAUGGCUCAGGAUGAACGCUAGCUACAGGCUUAACACAUGCAAGUCGAGGGGAAACGACAUCGAAAGCUUGCUUUCGAUGGGCGUCGACCGGCGCACGGGUGAGUAACGCGUAUCCAACCUGCCCACCACUUGGGGAUAACCUUGCGAAAGUAAGAUUAAUACCCAAUGAUAUCUCUAGAAGACAUCUGAAAGAGAUUAAAGAUUUAUCGGUGAUGGAUGGGGAUGCGUCUGAUUAGCUUGUUGGCGGGGUAACGGCCCACCAAGGCGACGAUCAGUAGGGGUUCUGAGAGGAAGGUCCCCCCACAUUGGAACUGAGACACGGUCCAAACUCCUACGGGAGGCAGCAGUGAGGAAUAUUGGUCAAUGGGCGAGAGCCUGAACCAGCCAAGUAGCGUGCAGGAUGACGGCCCUAUGGGUUGUAAACUGCUUUUAUGCGGGGAUAAAGUGAGGGACGUGUCCCUUUUUGUAGGUACCGCAUGAAUAAGGACCGGCUAAUUCCGUG